GUUCUGGACUUGAACCCAGUCUGUAACAGGGUUCUAAUGGUUCUGUGGUGGUUCCUUAAGACGCAGCUCAGACCUUAUCGGCAGUGGGUUUGGGAAUCACCUGCAUCAGACGACGGCUCAGCGAUGGCUGUUCUGACCUUCAACAGGCCGACCUCCAGCCUCUGAGAGAUCUUCUUGAAGCUCCAGAGGGAAGGAGAUGUUCAUCUUCCCCAGAGGAACCCUGAUCUCUCCCAGCACCGUGUGUCUGGAGAAC